rnacentral:rRNA from 1 species
UCCAUAGCUUGCUUUUGAAGAUCAGCGGCGGACGGGUGAGUAACACGUGGGCAACCUGCCUGUAAGACUGGGAUAACUUCGGGAAACCGGAGCUAAUACCGGAUAAUCCUUUCCCUCACAUGAGGGAAAGCUGAAAGACGGUUUCGGCUGUCACUUACAGAUGGGCCCGCGGCGCAUUAGCUAGUUGGUGAGGUAACGGCUCACCAAGGCAACGAUGCGUAGCCGACCUGAGAGGGUGAUCGGCCACACUGGGACUGAGACACGGCCCAGACUCCUACGGGAGGCAGCAGUAGGGAAUCUUCCGCAAUGGACGAAAGUCUGACGGAGCAACGCCGCGUGAGCGAUGAAGGCCUUCGGGUCGUAAAGCUCUGUUGUCAGGGAAGAACAAGUACCGGAGUAACUGCCGGUACCUUGACGGUACCUGACCAGAAAGCCACGGCUAACUACGUGCCAGCAGCCGCGGUAAUACGUAGGUGGCAAGCGUUGUCCGGAAUUAUUGGGCGUAAAGCGCGCGCAGGCGGUUCCUUAAGUCUGAUGUGAAAGCCCCCGGCUCAACCGGGGAGGGUCAUUGGAAACUGGGGAACUUGAGUGCAGAAGAGGAGAGCGGAAUUCCACGUGUAGCGGUGAAAUGCGUAGAGAUGUGGAGGAACACCAGUGGCGAAGGCGGCUCUCUGGUCUGUAACUGACGCUGAGGCGCGAAAGCGUGG